UACGUAGGGGGCAAGCGUUGUCCGGAUUUAUUGGGCGUAAAGAGCGUGUAGGCGGCCAGGUAGGUCAGCUGUGAAAACUCGAGGCUUAACCUCGAGACGCCGGCUGAAGCCCUCUGGCUAGAGUCCGGAAGAGGAGAGCGGAAUUCCUGGUGUAGCGGUGAAAUGCGCAGAUAUCAGGAAGAACACCCGUGGCGAAGGCGGCUCUCUGGGACGGUACUGACGCUGAGACGCGAAAGCGUGGGGAGCGAACAGG
rnacentral:rRNA from 1 species